ACUACCACAACGACGAACGCGACCACCAGCAUUACUAAUGAUCAUAUGGAAUAUAGUUUUAAAUUUUCCAAUUUUUGCCCACAAUUGCUUUUGCGCCAUGCUAAUCCAGAUCAACGAAGCUCUGGAAUUGGCGCUGGCGGCAAUUGACAAAGAGUCCAGCCACCACCAGCCGCACCACCCGACCAACGAGGAAUAUUUCCCACAGCCACAAACUGUCCCAUCCAGUAAUAAUGCAAACAA